rnacentral:rRNA from 1 species
GAAGAAAGAGGGGGGCGUGCUUAACACAUGCAAGUCGAACGGAAAGGCCCUGCUUUUGUGGGGUGCUCGAGUGGCGAACGGGUGAGUAACACGUGAGUAACCUGCCCUUGACUUUGGGAUAACUUCAGGAAACUGGGGCUAAUACCGGAUAGGAGCUCCUGCUGCAUGGUGGGGGUUGGAAAGUUUCGGCGGUUGGGGAUGGACUCGCGGCUUAUCAGCUUGUUGGUGGGGUAGUGGCUUACCAAGGCUUUGACGGGUAGCCGGCCUGAGAGGGUGACCGGCCCCAUUGGGACUGAGAUACGGCCCAGACUCCUACGGGAGGCAGCAGUGGGGAAUAUUGCACAAUGGGCGGAAGCCUGAUGCAGCAACGCCGCGUGCGGGAUGACGGCCUUCGGGUUGUAAACCGCUUUCGCCUGUGACGAAGCGUGAGUGACGGUAAUGGGUAAAGAAGCACCGGCUAACUACGUG